UCCUUUUCAUCUAAAUGCCCAUGGCUGGAGAGGGAGGCCUGCUCUAUGCUACUCCUCACCAAAAGAACUUGCUCGAUAGCAAUACAGGAAGUGCCACCAAAGUUCUUGACCAGAGGCCAUGUGUGGCUGGAAGCAUCUGCCUUUGGAGUGCAGAUGACUAGGAGACCACAACAGCCCUCAGGAGGGCCAAAGAUACCCUCCUGGGUGAAGAGUGGGGUUGAUGGUAUUCUUAUAGGAUAGAAGAGAUGUGAAUACAGACAGACAAAAGGACACAGACAGGGAUGGAGACAACGCAAAGUUGUCCAGUACGGUGUGUGCUUCUCAGCCCGAGUGUCCUGGAAAACUCAGAGAAGUGGGCUGUCGGAGGAAAGGUGAGGCAGGGAGGCUCUGAUCAAGCUAAGCAGAGCCUUUACUGUCAAGCUGACACAUUUCUGAUUCAUAUACUACUUUUUAUGUGUGAAUAAAUGAGUGACUAGAUGAUGUAAAAAUGAACAGUGGAUGAGCAAGAAGAAAGUUUGACUAAAUCUGUCCAAUCCAGUGAUGGCAGAGGCUGGGAAGAGUCUCCUUCCCAGGUGAGCUCUUUGCCUCAGUGCCACAGAGCCAAGAAGCCAUCUGUGAGCUGCAGUCAGAACGCUGGGAGAGGCAUGCCAGAGUUUCUGGGAGAAUGUCCACAGCCAUGUGAAGAUCUCUGCAUCUCUCUCUCACCGCCCAACAAAACAGUUUGGCCACUCAGGCUAAUAAGAUAACGUCUGAAGUUCCACAAUGGAGGCCUCAUCUCUUAGCCAGAAGCUGGAAUGACUGACAUCUGGUGCUGGGCCCUGUGACUGACAGGGCAUCUAGUGCUGGGUCCUGUGAUUGACAGGGCAUCCAGUGCUGGACACUGUGGUAGGCAGGACAUCCAGUGCUGGGCCCUGUGAUUGACAGGGCAUCCAGUGCUGUGUCCUAUGGAAGGCAGGACAUCCAGUGCUGGCCCCUGUGAUUGACAGGACAUCCAGUGCUAUGCCCUAUGGCAAGUGGGGGUGGGGGUGGGGUGGGAAGGCUGGUUUUGACAGAAAAGAUGUAACCUGAGCCCUGAAAAUGGAAGGUUUUCAGGGACAUGGUGGUGGGGAGAGCAGUGAAUGGAGGAGCCAGAGUUAAACCAAGUUGGCUAAGGGUAGUUUUGCAGAGUUCUAGCAACUAAUCCUAACACGUUAUUAGGUGUCCACUUAUUAAUGAAAAUGUCUCACACACUCAGUCUGAUCGCAGUAUCAGUGAGGUGAUUGAAAUAGUUGCAUUAGGCAGCUAAAUCCAUAAUCAUUGGCCUCUCCACCGUAGGGGAGCUUGGCUAAUCCUAACAUUAGCAGGUCGCAGGACCUCAUCAACAGAGCCUGCUGCAGAGUGAGGGAUGCUGUUUUCAGGAUGCCAAGGAGACCUGGGGAGCUCUGGGGGAUGGACACGCUCAUUCUUACUGUAAAGAUCCCCUGAGAACAGCGGGCUGUUAAAGGAUCAGUGUGGAACUUGCCUUACAGUCUAAAAGGCAGCAUAUUUCCUGGUUAUAAUAGUUUGGAGAAAAAUAUUGCUAAAUGGCUGCAUAAACAAUCUUAAUUGGCCUGAGCUCCCAAAAUGGAGCUAUUUCUGUGCUGUCGCCAAGCAUGUUUUUUUUACUAGCUAAUUAUGCCCACCAUUUAACUUUUGGGAGAAAAAAAGAAAAAGAAAGAAAGAGGAGAAACAGGAAAUAAGGCAUUCAUUAUUGGAGUGACAACUUUGGACAAGCCCACAUUUCAACAGCCAUUGUGUAAUUUCCUCUCCCUAGCUUACAGUUAGUUGUUCCAUGAGGCCACUGGAAACAAACACCUCCUUUAGUGGGGGCUGGGAGGUCGUUUGUUCAAUUCAAAAUGCCUGUCUAUUUUCACCUCAGGCAAAGGGACAGGUUCCCUCAGGCCACUGGAGCCCACCUCAAGAGUCUCUUUGCCAGGGAAAUUCUCCAAUGAAGGUUUCUGGUGAGUGGUUUGCCUGGGCUCUGCUGUCAGGGGCCAUGAUGUGCCUGCUGUUUAUGCAACACUUCUAGGCUCCUGGGGAUUUAGCUAACUCUCAGAGUGACACCUUACCCCCACCCUGUGAAAGUAUAAAACACAGUGAAUCCCAGUUUGUUAGGCACCAACUCUCAAAAAGUGAAGUUAGACCACUAUAUUAAAAUCAUCACUGUAUAUAUUAUGUAUGCAUAGAAACCAUACAGAUGCUGAAGUGUGUAGUUCAAACACCAUGUGGCUCCCACAGGAUCAAGAAUAUAUUGUUGCCAGUGCCCUGGGACCCUCCCUUUUACCCCUGUCCAAUCACCAUUUCCCUUCCCCCCUCAAAGGUUCUGAUGUUAUUUAAACUUCAUAUAAAUAGAACCAUAUAAUA
rnacentral:lncRNA from 1 species